UUUAGUUCAGGGGCCAAACACAGAGCAGUUUGAUCUCAAGUGGGCCACAGACUUUAUGUUGGAAAAACAAAUCAUUUCAUCAUUAUUGUUCUCUAGUUUAGCUACGUAGACAUAAUAUACAACAAAUAUACUUUACAUUUCCUAAAUUUUUUGACUAAUUUCUAUUGAAUUAAUCGAGAUCAUUUGACACGUGUGUGUUAGGAUGUAUGAUGUGUGUGUGUGUGUGUGUGUGUGUGUGUGUGUGUGUGUGUGUGUGUGUGUGUUUCAGUUGAAACCAACACCAGCAGGGCUCAGAUCUCCUGCUCCCAUACUAACACCUCCUUAAAGGACUUCAGCGGGGUAUGGAGGUUCAACCACACAAACAUCAUCAUGAGGUGGAACAGGACUGAUGGACCACACGUCUCAGCUCAGUGGAGGACGCAUGUUGAGGCUGAGAACGUGUUAGAUGUUCUCCAUCUACAGAACUUGUCUUCAGAUCAGGAGGGAACGUACAGCUGUGAGCUGAGCAGAACUGAGGAGACCACAGCUACUCACACACUGCUCAGGGUGGAGAUGAAGAAAGACAACACAGACGCUAUUGUUGGGGGCGUGUUUGGUGCCUUUGGUUUGAUUCUAGCGGUUAUCAUCGUGGUUCUGGUAGUUCUUUGGAAACGCAGUGAUACAGAUCAGUCAUUUUUCUACUGGUUGUGUCAAAUGAUACAAAGAAGGAGGCCUGUCUCCAACAUGUCAGUGUCCUUCACUCAAACACGGAGUCAAAGGAAUGAAAGAACGUCUCUUCAAACUGUGAUUUAUUGUGGAACUGCGGCUGAGAUGCAGGCGAUGAAUACUUCCUCGUAGAUUCCUAGGUUCUGAGCUGAGUGGUGACGGCAAGAUCUACGUUAUGAAGUGUAAAAAAAAAAAGAAAAGAAGGAUUUUACUUUCACACUUUUUAUCCAUGCUAACUUUAUUUGAAUUACGUGAAAUGCUUUGGUCCAACAUUCAAAGAUAACAAACCCAAAAUGCUAUCUGUAACUAGCAUAUUAAACUGGCCGUAUCAUUUGAUCUAUUGGCCAAUUCAAUGAGCCUGUUAUGCUGAAAAAAUACAAGGACUGGAUCGGCAAACAUUAAUCAGCCAUAAUGUAAUUGUGUUAUUUUUUUUGUGAUUAUUAUACAUUUCCUAUGGUUCAUUUGUGUUCCGGUGGUUAUGUUCAGGCAUCUUGUUUUUUACACCGUUGUGUUCAGCCGCUAAGGGGUCCUGACAGAGGAAUGUACGGGCGAUAAUAUUCUCUGUCACCCUGGAUUUCUACUGGAUCCGUAACUGCUGCGAAACAUCAACACAGCUGAUAGGUUUCUAUUAACUCAUUCAGUACCAGCCGUUUUUGAGCAUUUUGACUGAUUUUUAAAGACCCACAGAAUAAUUUCUACUAUGACUAUCUGAAAUCUGACACCAGGUUCUGAAAGAUUGAAGCCUCUACUUUCAUCACAAAAAAAAAUGUUUCUGGCUCGUUUGGUUGUUUUGUAAUCAGCCGUUGAAUAGAGCAAGUUUUACACAAAUCUUCAGUUUCAGAGCAAAAAGCUGAGAAAAAAGCCUUUUUGUAAAAAAACCCUGUCAGUGACUUUAAAGCUUUUUUUUUUUUCUUUGCUUUAGUGACAACUCUAACAUUUGAACAUUGUUUCCUUAUAUAAAACUUAAAAAAAAAAGCAGACGGGGCUUUUGAUGGCAAAAUGAUUAUUAUUUAUUUAUCUGGGUCAGAGUUAAAUGGAUUUCUUACUGUAUUUUGGUGUUCCUCCAACUUUCUCUACCGUCAGCACACACGCAACUUCCUCUUCCUCCCGGACAUACAGAGUGUCACUGCUUACCCCAUUUUUUAUGGUUUUAUCUCACAAUCGCCACAUUAUUCAUAAGUUCCACACUUGCUCUGGUCGAAGUGUGCGCUGCUGGGAACGUCCGCUAUGGACGUAGCGCCAUUUUCUGUCUCGUAAACGCCUUCCCUCUCUCCCUCUGAGCUCCGAUGAGCAUGGAUGAUCUCACAUCCAAAGGUGCGCUGCUACUUCCUACAUGUCACCUAUUAUUUUGCUAUCUGGCUCACAGGCUGGGGGUAUUUUGUACCCACCUCCACACACCCCCUCCUCCCCCCUCCCCCCGACACGCAGCGAUGACCUGUUUGGCCCGGUUAGUUGAUGGUUUUAUCUCACGAUCACAACAUUAUCAAUAAUCCACUCAGGUCCACACAUGUUCUGUGUUAGUAUGUGGAGCUGUGAGCUGCUGGAUACGUCACAAUAUCACUUCAUAGAGCCAUAAUCUCACUUCUUUUCCUGCUUCUUCCUUCUUUGCUGGGAAGCAUCAGUGGCUAAUCUCUCAUCUAAAGGUGCACUGCUGCCAUCUUCAGGACACAGUUGGUCACUACAACACCCCACAGCUUAGAUAUUGAUGAGAGACCUCCGCCAGGGUGUUUUCUAGUAAUUCCUGUGAAAAAAUGCAAAUGACGAGAUAUCUCGUCAAUGGCACUGAGUGAGUUAAUGUCAAUGUGUCAAUUUCCACCGCAUGGUAAUCUGCUCCAGCACAGCACCUUCACUGCUGACUCAUGUUGCUGCCCUCUGCAGCAAUGAUGCAACACUUCUAUUUUAGCUGGAUACUGGAGCUGUGCUGCAGCAAGUUAACAAAAAUAAGCCCAUGUUCAUAAACACAGAACAAAAUAUCCAGAUUAUUUUCAAAAUAAAAUACUACGUGUUCAAGAGGGAAAACA
rnacentral:lncRNA from 1 species